rnacentral:rRNA from 1 species
UACGUAGGGUGCAAGCGUUAAUCGGAAUUACUGGGCGUAAAGGGCUCGUAGGCGGCCAACUAAGUCCGACGUGAAAUCCCCAGGCUUAACCUGGGAACUGCAUCCGAUACUGGUUGGCUUGAAUCCGGGAGAGGGACGUGGAAUUCCAGGUGUAGCGGUGAAAUGCGUAGAUAUCUGGAGGAACACCGGUGGCGAAGGCGACGUCCUGGACCGGUAUUGACGCUGAGGCGCGAAAGCCAGGGGAGCAAACGGG